rnacentral:rRNA from 1 species
UAGCUUGUUGGUGAGGUAAUGGCUCACCAAGGCGACGACGGGUAGCCGGCCUGAGAGGGCGACCGGCCACACUGGGACUGAGACACGGCCCAGACUCCUACGGGAGGCAGCAGUGGGGAAUAUUGCACAAUGGGCGAAAGCCUGAUGCAGCGACGCCGCGUGAGGGAUGACGGCCUUCGGGUUGUAAACCUCUUUCAGCAGGGAAGAAGCGAAAGUGACGGUACCUGCAGAAGAAGCGCCGGCUAACUACGUGCCAGCAGCCGCGGUAAUACGUAGGGCGCGAGCGUUGUCCGGAAUUAUUGGGCGUAAAGAGCUCGUAGGCGGCUUGUCGCGUCGGGUUUGAAAGCCCGGGGCUUAACCCCGGGUCUGCAGUCGAUACGGGCAGGCUAGAGUUCGGUAGGGGAGAUCGGAAUUCCUGGUGUAGCGGUGAAAUGCGCAGAUAUCAGGAGGAACACCGGUGGCGAAGGCGGAUCUCUGGGCCGAUACUGACGCUGAGGAGCGAAAGCGUGGGGAGCGAACAGGAUUAGAUACCCUGGUAGUCCACGCCGUAAACGGUGGGCACUAGGUGUGGGGGACAUUCCACGUCGUCCGUGCCGCAGCUAACGCAUUAAGUGCCCCGCCUGGGGGAGUACGGG